rnacentral:rRNA from 1 species
UACGUAGGGUGCAAGCGUUGUCCGGAAUUAUUGGGCGUAAAGAGCUCGUAGGCGGCUUGUCGCGUCGGAUGUGAAAGCCCGGGGCUUAACUCCGGGUCUGCAUUCGAUACGGGCAGGCUAGAGUUCGGUAGGGGAGAUCGGAAUUCCUGGUGUAGCGGUGAAAUGCGCAGAUAUCAGGAGGAACACCGAUGGCGAAGGCAGAUCUCUGGGCCGUAACUGACGCUGAGGAGCGAAAGCAUGGGGAGCGAACAGG